GUCCAAUGGCACUCCUCUGAGACGUCAUGUCCUCUAGCUCCGGCCCAUUUCGUUCCGACAUGUCACUUCCUGUGACGUGUAUAUUAUAGUUCCAUAUAGGUCAUGUGAUCGACGCACGGAACGUCCAUUAGAGAUAGGGCAAAAUGCCCUGAGUUCAUCAUAUUUACACAUCCGGAUACAGCAAAAGAAGGGAGUAUAGGAUAAAAUAAAGAAAUCAUUACUAA